rnacentral:ncRNA from 1 species
AAAAACGCGAUGAACGGGAACAGUAAGGCAGGCCGGUGAACAGAGAGCUGCGGGGUGGUGCGACGCAGUCAGCGGCAGGUCUGAAGCUCGCCCGGGAGCGGCGGGGUUGAUAACGGCGGGAGAGCUGCAGGUGCUCUUCGGCUGGAGUAGAUUCCGACGGAGGCCCACCGUGAGAAGGGCUUCGAGGUGGAGUUCCUGGCGAACCGGCGGCUUUGUGCGGCGGGUGGACCGGAAUUCAAGAAGAGUGGUACCGCGGCAGGGCAUCGAGCCCGUCGUCUCUUAU